rnacentral:rRNA from 1 species
AGUGAACGCUGGCGGUAGGCCUAACACAUGCAAGUCGAACGGCAGCACAGUAAGAGCUUGCUCUUACGGGUGGCGAGUGGCGGACGGGUGAGGAAUACAUCGGAAUCUACUUUUUCGUGGGGGAUAACGUAGGGAAACUUACGCUAAUACCGCAUACGACCUACGGGUGAAAGCAGGGGAUCUUCGGACCUUGCGCGAUUGAAUGAGCCGAUGUCGGAUUAGCUAGUUGGCGGGGUAAAGGCCCACCAAGGCGACGAUCCGUAGCUGGUCUGAGAGGAUGAUCAGCCACACUAGAACUGAGACACGGUCCAGACUCCUACGGGAGGCAGCAGUGGGGAAUAUUGGACAAUGGGCGCAAGCCUGAUCCAGCCAUACCGCGUGAGUGAAGAAGGCCUUCGGGUUGUAAAGCCCUUUUGUUGGGAAGGAAAGGCAGCAGGUUAAUACCCCGCUGUUCUGACGGUACCCAAAGAAUAAGCACCGGCUAACUUCGUG